rnacentral:rRNA from 1 species
UUCGCUGGCUCCAAAACGGGGGUUUAGGGGGUGGGGUGAGUGCGCGUGGAGCGGCGGCGGCGGGGGCAGGGGAGGGAGGGAGGUGGUUUGGGAGCAGCGGCGGCGUCGCGUCGCGUCGUGGCGUCAGCGGGGGGCUACCGCUGGCGGCGGCCGGGGCAGCCGCCCGACAGCCGCUUCCUGCUCUAAUCCCUCCACCUCUACCUCUAGUACUUGGGCGGCCUCCUCCGCCGCCUCGCCCGGCCCGACUUCUCCCGGACCCCGAGGCGCUCGCGGCCGCGAAGAGUACCAAAAUAACCUCACUGAUGACGACUUUUCUUCGGUUGUGAGGACGGAGUAUUGUUACAGUUUAUAGACUUCUUUUGACCGUCACCGUUAGAAGAUGCAAGCCUAUACGGUCUAUGAUUACGAACCUCUAAAUCAUCGAGUAGAGGACCACCUCUAGACCCCUCGUUUUGGUCUUGGGGAUGCUCAUGGAAAUUACGAGUUCCUUUCUUAACGUGAAGAGGAGUACUUUCUCUCCCAAGACCAAAACCAUUGGACACCUCAGUUCUUCUUUUACGACCAAGUGAGUGUAGUCAACCAAUACCCUUUGUAUCUCCGAGACUUCUUCCUAAACUUCGUGUUACACAUAGGUUGAACUUACUAGACGUGUUGAUACCCGCUAUAUCCUGGGAGUAAGUAAGAAUACCGCUUCUAUUAUCCCCCGACCGAGUAUUGAGCGGGUUGGAUUUAUAAAGCCUCUCCAGAACGUCUUGACUAUUAAAUACCUGAUGUUUCGGAUGGGGAGGACAUUUACUCGACCACGUCUAGAGUCAAGUUCCCUUUUUGGUGUUUGGAUCAGAGUACCCUGCGGUAUAAUCAAACGGGAGACUAUCGAUGAACCUACCGUCCCCUUGGAAUUCAUCUAACGUAAAUCUACCUCUUUUAGACAACGGCCUAGACUUACACCGGUUUCGUUCGUCGGAUUCACUAAGAGUACAGAGACUAAUAACCGUAGCCGGUAAACUGAGUAGACAAAGUAAACUGAUAGGGGUCAUACCACUCUUCGCUAGACAAAUACCACCUGGUUGUCUUUUAGAAGGAGUGUUUGUAGUCUUUCUUGUAUCAAGUUCGAAACGGAGUAUGCCGAGUUUGUCAUAUUGUCCCAAGUCUUCAGGUCCGAUGUUAUCGAGACGAGUAAGGAACCCAUCGGUUGGAAGAGCUCGUUAAUGAGUGGAUCCUUACGGCAGGGGAGUAGUCAAUUGUGGACCAUAACUCUUUAAACCAGAGGUAUUUCUACAUAUAAAACUGUUCCCGACACCAUGUAGAUCCGAACCCAAUGCACGUUCGUCAAGUACGGUUGGACUCGUGGAAAGGGGUUAGUUCCUACUGGGAACCCAUUGAAGUCACGGAAAACAUGGAGAACAACUCAAAGGGUUGUCAUGUAGUGGAAGUUUAUCAGGUAUACUGGGUGAACGACUGUCAUACCUGGGAGGGUUUCAACUUUCACCGUUAUAAGAGUUCAGGAGGUUGUAUAGGACGUCGUAAAGUUCAGUCGUGUGACGACCCUUACCACAAUAUAUACCUCUAUAGUUGUUUAGUAACUAAAUACGACUAUUCAACCGUUCCUUAUACAGCCGUUUUCCCAGUUUACUCAAACGUCCGAACCAACGUGGACAAUUCCUUGCGAGAUCAGACCUACAGCUAUGAAACCACUUUCGAAAACUUUCUUGGUUUCUACCUCGUUAACUACUCUUUUGCUCCCUAAUAAAGGCAUAAGUAAACCGUCUUGUACACUUCCUCAACGACUUUGGAUAAACCUUCCUUCCGUUUGACUCAUUUCUACGAGUAUUUGACUAUCAUUUUUUUAGACAACUGUUUCAAGAACGAAGUCAACUAGACGUAGUUCAUGGUCGAUGAUUUCUUAACUAUUGACUAAUAUAUUGGUACAGACCUUGUUUCUAACUUUUCGAACACUUCCGUAUACAACUAUCCGUACCAUGUUCUACUCUAGGUCUGAAGAUUUUCGACUCGAGGUAGUGGAUAUAUACCCGAAAGUCGUUUGUGGAAAGGCUACACUAAUUAGACGUCAGGUUACAACGAUCCGGACUAGACGUCAGGUUACAACGAUCCGGACUAGACGUCAUCGGUUGGACUUCACUUCACCUAAGUCCCUUCGUAAGUUAAAACGUAGAAAUUCCAACGGUCUAUAAUUUCAGCAGAAACUCGGAUAAUAUAGGAGUAAAAUAGUAGUGACUAGUUUGAAUACUCUCGACGGUCUUGUACGUUUACCUUUGUUUGUCAAGCGGAGUAAGUGGAAGAGUCUAAAAAAUACCGGACAUGACGAAUUAAGGAACCGGGUAAGACGACUUUUCCAAGACAAAGACCUGCCUUACCGCAGGGUCUAACCUUACGAUUAUGAUUUCUCACGGGUACAGGACUGAGCAGGUACUUCACCAGGCUGGAUUGGAGACGGGAGUAUACGGAUACAAGUGGGUUCGACAUCUAGUGUUUAUGGAACGACCAGUCCGACGCGUAGAGGUAGCGGGCGGAGAACGAAUGAGACAGACGGAGCAGGAGGCACAAUGUAAGAAAGGAGGUUGUCGGUCCACACCGAACCGAAAGCUAAGACAAAACGGCCGCUCUUACCACUUCCGAAACCAAUUGUAAAUUCUAGUCGCAAUUUUGUCCGAAGAUGACACGUCGGACACAAUAUAGUCAUUUAUUUACCUUAAAUUAAAGUUACGGUGAUCAACUGAGACUUUGAUAUUUACACGGUAACGAAAAGAGGGUAAAUGCUCUUACCGUAUAAUUUCUAAUUUCUUUUACCUCAGUGUUUACGUUGGUUGUGUUGGGAGAUGUGAAUGUAGGGUACGAUGUGUCGGGGAUGUCAUUCUACGUUGUUUGCUCUCGGUUUGAUUGUUAGAAUUGGUUUGUCCAAGGUUGUGUUCUUCAUUUCCGUCCUGUUUGUCCAGGCAGAAUACAGAAGGCAAAAACGAUACGACUACAUAACUGGUCGGACCUGAUAUAACCAAACCUUUGAUGGAGUAAUUGUGUAUAACUGGGUCGAACAUGAUCAGUGACCUCGUGUACGGGGGUGGUGUGAUGGGAGAGUUAACACACGAGAUGAGUGGAGGGCUAACUUAGGGGAAGAGGUUUUAGGGAACGGUUCAAGUCACUCAGUCCGCUCCGACGUCGUGUUCGAAGGAACCAUGCCUGCACCGUACACAUUAACUCGCCCUGACUGCCGACCGAGACCCUUACCUUGGUCUGCCACUGCACCCACGCACUCACCCCUGUUACCGACCGACGCGCGUACCUUGGUCCAGUUCACUCCCCGGAUCCGAGCAGAACCUCCAAGGGUGAUUUAUAUGUUAGGAACGAGUACCGGACUUCAUACGGAUCUACGGCUACCCACAUAACAUAGGACGAACACAAUCGAAUACCUAAGAUAUAUAUAUCGUAUUAACGUAAUUUGGACUACCUGAUACCUAAGUAUUUUGGAACAAUAAUACGAAUGAUUUGACACGUAACAUCUAUGAGGUCAACAUCGUUUGGAGUCUUAGAGUCAUGUAAUACCGAGUUCUUAAAAUGUCAUAACGACAUAUUUGACUGAUGUAAUCGAGGUCCCAACAUUACGUAUUUAAAUAUUGUUAAGACGCAGUCUAAGCUCGUGCUUUUAGAAGAGACCCAUCGAUCGAUAGAAAAGGCAUGGGAGACAAAGUCGCAGUCCAUUAUGGUUAAGGAGGGACGGGAAAGAGAAACAUCUCUCGAUGGUUUGCCAUAAAUUCCGAAAACUGGAUAAAAGUAGAGUUGGGUCCGACCAGUUUUGGGAAACUGGUCGGCCAUCGUAGUGACGUACCGUUCUUUCUUUCUCUUUGGUUGCCUCCUUACCGUAAGGAUCACUGUAACAGUAUUUAUUUAGAUGAAUAUGAUUAUUUUCGUGCUCAAACCACUUAGGUUUACUAGACUCGGUAGGUUGGUGGAUAUAGGUUGCAGAGUGCGACGAGGUUACUACAUAGAUAGUGUAGUAGUUAUUAAACCUUUUCUGUAAUUAACGUAAUUUGUGUUAAUUAUAACUUUAGUUGUAAUUAAUACCAAUUAAAACCUUUCUGUAAUAUAUAUAUAUAUAUAUAUAAUUAUAUGGCCGAUUAUAGUUGUACAUGACGUGCAUACGUAAAUGGUCAACAGUAUUUAUAAGGUAUUGAUUUUACAUACGUACACACCCCGAAUUCUGGGGUCAUGUUGGUGGCUUUUGUGUUUCGAGUUCCGACAUAUUUUAAUUGUUCCAUCCCAGAAUCGAACAGAAACUGGGAUAAUUGUUCAUCCGGAUCUGGUCUAAACUCCGUGUUGGAGGUCCUCUAGGAACCACCCCGUUAAGGAAGGUCUGAGAACACUAAUACAAGGAACGUAGGUCUUAAAUUGGUGUCCUGGUAUUAAAUUAACGAAUGUCCCGACGAUUAGUAUUAAGUAAUAGACUACUUCCAUGAUUGAUUUCUUGGAAAACCAUCAUACAGUCGAUAGUUUAUACACUCCGUAUAUAUUUACGAACGAGUAGACGUUGUACAGAACACGUCAGACCCACACGAUUACUCCUACUGUUCCAAAACCGAAGACGAUGAACUACGUAGCGUGGUUUGGACUUCGAGUUGUAACGAAAACAUCAGAGGAAAAGAGCACAAGGUUCGAAAACAUCAGAGGGAGUUUUCAACAACUACAAACAACGAAGGACUUAGGACUACCAGACAGCAAAACGAAGGUCAAAAGACUUAUUUCGUCUCACACCGAACAAGUUCUUUAUAUGAGGGAGGUAUUUCUUUGUAUUCUCGCAAAUUUGGUAAUGAAAUCACUAGAUUUGCGAGAAUAUAAAGAAAUGUCUCCCUCAUAUACGAAUAGAUUACUUAACGAGUUAUCGGAGUGAAUCAUUAUAGGUUACGGAAGCGUCCCAGAAUUUUUCCGACGUCUCGUGUCUACUUGUAGAGUAAGUAAAAGAUACCUAAGAAAUGUCAGUUGUGUCUCAUAGGUUUUUACCUUUUGCACUACUUAUAAACAUGACACAGGCCAAUCUGUUCCAAAUGCAGACUGUUUAACGACGUGAUACAACUACGUUGCAUUAUGAAGGUACUUAUUAACCAUAAACCAACCAUAAGGGAUGGUCAUAUGUUGGUAGACACAGCCGAACGAGUCAACGAGUUCACACAAGGAUAGUACCGUGUAAACAAACGUCAAAAAGAUAGAAACCUUCGGCGAUUUCGACCGUGACUACGAACCAAGUCCUAGUUCUGUGUCUGUACGAUGACGAGGAAAACACCGGUUUGACAAGUAAUCGAGGAUUUCGAUAGCCCUAAGUCCUAUACGAGAAGACAGGACGCCUCAAAGAAAAGUCAAUACGAGAACCUCAACCUAUCAGCUCUAUGAGAGACCAUUUCUUUUAGGUCCAAGUUUCUAUAGUACUUAUCAGUCUUUAGGACCUAUGUAUAAAGUCAAGAACAUAACGAAAGAAAUCGUGUUCCACGUCGCUACGACUGCCAUACCGUCGUGGCGUGUAGUUUUCGGCAUACUAAAAACAGAGCACUGAUCAGACCACCGUCCAGCAUCGACAAAUACUUACGAUGUGCUCGUCGGAACUCUUUCUAGAUACUCGUCCCCUUACGGUCACACCGUGGUCAUAAAAAAAUUAAGAAAGAAAGUCAAAACAUGGCACGGGUAAUACGGUUUUGACGUUUGAUACUACAUGUCACACACAACAGAAACACCAACACCGACGGCAAUUCGUAUUACGCAAUACACGAUUGUGUCUAGAGACACCGGAAAAUACGAGUAGCUGCUAGUAACUCCUCCAGUUCCAACUCACGUCCAGUACAAAGAGUAGGACAAGACAAUGAAAGUCCAUUUUCUCCACGGCCGACACAGCACGUAGACAACCGAGUCAGUCCGAGACGAGAGACAACUUGGGUAUAUGACCAACAAGGUCACGUUCAGCGCCUCACACGUUCCCGUCUUUAACAGUAGCAAAGAAACAUUAUUUCGAAAACGAAAUUCAACUUUUCUUUUUCCCAACCCUUCAACGAACCAGACUGUAGAGUCAAACCUCAAAAAGAAAAAAAAGGC